GUCCUUAGUUACCAGCACGUUAUGGUGGGCGACUCUAAGGAGACUGCCGGUGACAAACCGGAGGAAGGUGGGGAGUGACGUCAAGUCAUCAUGGCCCUUACGGCCUGGGCUACACACGUGCUACAAUGGUCGGUACAAAGGGUUGCCAAGCCGCGAGGUGGAGCUAAUCCCAUAAAACCGAUCGUAGUCCGGAUCGCAGUCUGCAACUCGACUGCGUGAAGUCGGAAUCGCUAGUAAUCGUGAAUCAGAAUGUCACGGUGAAUACGUUCCCGGGCCUU
rnacentral:rRNA from 1 species